rnacentral:rRNA from 1 species
AUUGAACGCUGGCGGCGUGCCUAACACAUGCAAGUCGAGCGGUAACAGGUGUAGCAAUACAUGCUGACGAGCGGCGAACGGGUGAGUAAUGCUUCGGAAUCUGCCCAUGUAGUGGGGAAUAACCAGCCGAAAGGUUGGCUAAUACCGCAUACGACCUACGGGUGAAAGCAGGGGAUCGCAAGACCUUGCGCUAUUGGAUGAGCCGAAGUCGGAUAGCUAGUUGGUAGGGUAACGGCCUACCAAGGCGACGAUCCGUAGCUGGUCUGAGAGGACGACCAGCCACACUGGGACUGAGACACGGCCCAGACUCCUACGGGAGGCAGCAGUGGGGAAUAUUGGACAAUGGGGCAACCCUGAUCCAGCGACGCCGCGUGUGUGAAGAAGGCCUGCGGGUUGUAAAGCACUUUUAGUGGGGA